GAUGAACGCUGGCGGCGUGCCUAAUACAUGCAAGUCGAGCGAACGGACGAGAAGCUUGCUUCUCUGAUGUUAGCGGCGGACGGGGGAGUAACACGUGGAUAACCUAUCUAUAAGACUGGGAUAACUUCGGGAAACCGGAGCUAAUACCGGAUAAUAUUUUGAACCGCAUGGUUCAAAAGCGAAAGACGGUCUUGCUGUCACUUAUAGAUGGAUCCGCGCUGCAUUAGCUAGUUGGUACGGUAACGGCUUACCAAGGCAAGGAUGCAUAGCCGACCUGAGAGGGGAAUCUGCGAAGCUGGAACUGGAGCACGGUCCGGACUCCUGGGAGAGGGAGCCGUAGGGAAUCUUCCGGGAUGGGAGAAGGGCGGACGGAGGAACGCCGCGUGAGUGAUGGAGGUAUUCGGGUCGUGUGACUGUGUUAGGAGGGAGGAACGUAAGGGUAAGUAACUGGGGACGUCAUGGCGGGAACUAGUCAGAAAGGCACGGCUAACUACGUG
rnacentral:rRNA from 1 species